UUAGCGGCGGACGGGUGAGUAACGCGUGGACAAUCUACCCUGUAGACUGGGAUAACACCUCGAAAGGGGUGCUAAUACCGGAUAAUGUCGAGAAGCGGCAUCGCUUUUCGAAGAAAGGAGGGAAUCCGCUAUAGGAGGAGUCCGCGUCCCAUUAGCUAGUUGGUGAGGGUAACGGCCCACCAAGGCGACGAUGGGUAGCCGGCCUGAGAGGGUGAACGGCCACACUGGAACUGAGACACGGUCCAGACUCCUACGGGAGGCAGCAGUGGGGAAUAUUGUGCAAUGGGGGAAACCCUGACACAGCGACGCCGCGUGAGUGAAGAAGGCCUUCGGGUCGUAAAGCUCAAUAGUAUGGGAAGAAAGAAAUGACGGUACCAUACGAAAGCCCCGGCUAACUACGUGCCAGCAGCCGCGGUAAUACGUAGGGGGCGAGCGUUGUCCGGAAUUACUGGGCGUAAAGAGCACGUAGGC
rnacentral:rRNA from 1 species